CUGUUAAUUGUCGUUACGUGCAUCAUGCUAACGAUGAGACGUGCAUCUGUCUGUGACAAACAUUACGUGCACGUCCACGUACGCUGCGUGUGAACAGACAUGGGUGCGGGACCCGCACACCAUCGUGGCACUCAACGCCGAGACCCUGUUCUCCUCCUGGUGGGCUGUGUGCACCAAGCGAGGCCCUGCCUUCAGUCCCCAUGUUGGACGCUCCAGCAGCUUCCUGACCAAGGUUUCCCGAGGACCACUGCUGACCCCGCAGUCGGCGGGCCGGCCCAUGCUGUCGCCCUCCACGGCGGGUAUCCCCGGCUUCUGGCGUUGCUCUUGAAAGUCGGAAACCACGCUGAGGGCUAGUCUUCGGGACGCGUCCAGUCUUUAUUCUUGUGGGAAUUUCACGGGCUCCUCUGGCCCACGGUCUCCACGCGGCAGCCCUGGGCUUCUCUGUGCAAGUGCAGCCACGGAACUGCUCAGCCAUCGGCCACGCUUGCCAGCACCUCGGGGCAGUUCCUAGAAUCCAGACUUCCUUCCCAGGGCUGUUCCUUGUCUGGGGCUGGUGUCAGGAGGGUGCCAGCCAUCAGGCCCAGAAGCCACCAGCAGGGACCCAGCACACUCCCCUGUCCUUCAUACCAUCUGUCUACUCUCUGGGAGAUUUCCCGGACUGUCUCCCAGUCUUGCCACUGGACCCUUUCUCUUUACUCUCAGGGUUCGAAUUUCCAAAAAUCCUUUUGGUUCUCUUAUCUUUAGGAGAAUAUAAAUUUUUAAGUUUUUUCUCCCAGAAAAGUUUUGCACGCUCAGAGUGGUGUUCACAUUUUUUAAAGGGCUUAAAACAACGAAGAAGAAUUCUGGACGGCAACUAUACGUGCCCCACAAAGGCUACAUUAUCUACCCCCUGGCCCUUUACAGAGAAGUCUGUCGCCCCAGGAUCUGCGUCCUCCAACAUGCGGCUCUCGUGCGGGAAGCGAGCGGGUGCUCAGUCUGCCAGCCUGGCUCGUGGUGGGACAGAUGGCCACGUCCUCCAGCCUCUGCCUGGGUGUCACUGACGCCAGCGUUGUCCGGUCAGCCCCCUGUGACAAAGAGCACGGGGCCUCCCGCACGCAGCAGGUUCUCUGUCCUCCCUCAGAAGCCCUCCUUUUCAGGAUGACACUUCUGGUGUCAGGAUGACACCCUGUCUUAAAUGUUCCAGAAGCACGCACAGGUGUUCGGCCAGCGCAGGGGGAGGGCCGGCCCGGCCGUGCGGGAAGGGGCCGCUGAGAUCCGAAGCACACACAGAAACCGCACAGACGUGAAGCACGACAGCCUGUGUUCCCAGCGCAGGGCAAGAGCGGGGAGCGUGUGGCCGCGCGAGGAGGCCCCUGCCGGGCAGGCCUGUCCCCCACUGCAGCCCCACUUGGCCCGCUCUUGCGUUCCAGACCCCGGGAAUCACCACCUGUGCCCCUCUGGGUCCGACUGUGGCUCAGCCUCGUAUUUAACGUUGGCCUGGGCCUGGGCAUUCACGCUGCUGUGUGGAAUUUUGCUGCAAGGAAUUUUGUCGAUUUUUUCAACAUUUCAAGUAUUUACUAUACGCGGGCCAAAGGCUCGAACUCACAACCCCAGGAUCAACAGCCGCACGCUCCACGGACCUUCAGUCCCCGCCGGCCCUGUUCUCGAGGCUCCACGUCUUCCGUGGGCAGUCACCCCCUGGCCUCCGCUUUCCGGCCCCCGCGGUGUUUCUCCUCCCCGGGCCUGCUCGGUCCCUGUGGGCUUACGCUUUGCUUUUGCAGAGUGGUAUUUGGGGAGGAGGCCAAAAGCAUAGGUUCAGGUUGCAAUCUGUAGGCAGAGGUCCCCAUUUUCUGCAUUGUCUCUAGUGAAUUCCUGCUGCGCUUUUAGAAUUAGAAGAACAAAAUCAAGUAACUCAAAAGACUCUGGAACAAGCCGUGGCUCCCAGCACGUGGCAGGUUCGGUCUCUGCCGAACCAUCACCGGCCGUGGGACCGGGGCUUAGCCAGCAGGAAGCAACUCUCACGGGAGGUUGAAAUGAGACGACGCGCUACGCGGGUCACACCUCGGAGGUGCUCGGCAAGGCAGCCGCGGCCACCAUUACUAAGAGCGACAGUGACGACACCCAGGUUUCUGGGCCGCGUCCUUGAGUGGAGGGGAAGCACGCCGGUUUUACAGCAGACGGGAAGGUCCACCGUCCCCCCAGACUCGCAUCACCCCUCGGCACACGCGGUGUCCUGCAGGCAGGGAAGGACACACUGGUUUCAUUGAGCAUCGGUGACGACCGUCCGGUAGCUCCCGCGGGAGGGCACCGUGCCCUACUCGCUUCCUGUCAUUCUUCCCAGAGAUGACCGUGCGCGCAUCCUCUGUGGUUCUGGGGGCUCAGACCCCGAGCCGGCGUCGGGCCCACACCCGGGACUCAGCAAGGCUGGUGUGGGUCGUGCGAAUUCAGUUCCUCGUGACGACAGGAAGGAAGUUCCCCUUUCUGCACUGGCCCGCAGCUGAGGGCUGUUCCCAGCUUGCGGAGGCCACGACGCCCCACGGUCCCUCUUCAGAGCCAGCCGGGCGGUCGGGGCCCACCUCCUGUGCUCCAUCUGACCCGUCUGUCUGCCCCUUUAAGCACUGGCGUGGUUAGCCCGGGCCCACCGGACAGGGUGAUCUCCCCAUCUCGGGGUCCG